GGAAUAUUGGACAAUGGGGGCAACCCUGAUCCAGCAAUGCCGCGUGUGUGAAGAAGGCCUGCGGGUUGUAAAGCACUUUCAACGGGGAAGAAAAGCCUACGGAUAAUACCCGUAAGUCUUGACGUUACCCGUAGAAGAAGCACCGGCUAACUCCGUGCCAGCAGCCGCGGUAAUACGGAGGGUGCGAGCGUUAAUCGGAAUUACUGGGCGUAAAGCGCACGUAGGUGGUUUGGUAAGUCGGAUGUGAAAUCCCCGGGCUUAACCUGGGAAUGGCAUUCGAUACUGCCAGGCUAGAGUAUGGUAGAGGGAAGUGGAAUUCCGGGUGUAGCGGUGAAAUGCGUAGAUAUCCGGAGGAACACCAGUGGCGAAGGCGGCUUCCUGGACCAAUACUGACACUGAGGUGCGAAAGCGUGGGGAGCA
rnacentral:rRNA from 1 species